UCUUGAUUGAGCUUGGACGGUAAAGCGUCUGCCUACAAUGUGGGAGACCCAGGUUCGAUCCCUGGGUCGGGAA
rnacentral:tRNA from 1 species